rnacentral:rRNA from 1 species
AACGAACGCUGGCGGCAUGCCUAACACAUGCAAGUCGAACGAUUGCCUUCGGGUGAUAGUGGCGCACGGGUGCGUAACGCGUGGGAAUCUGCCCUUAGGUUCGGAAUAACAGCUGGAAACGGCUGCUAAUACCGGAUGAUAUCGCGAGAUCAAAGAUUUAUCGCCUGAGGAUGAGCCCGCGUUGGAUUAGGUAGUUGGUGGGGUAAAGGCCUACCAAGCCGACGAUCCAUAGCUGGUCUGAGAGGAUGAUCAGCCACACUGGGACUGAGACACGGCCCAGACUCCUACGGGAGGCAGCAGUAGGGAAUAUUGGACAAUGGGCGCAAGCCUGAUCCAGCAAUGCCGCGUGAGUGAUGAAGGCCCUGGGGUUGUAAAGCUCUUUUACCCGGGAAGAUAAUGACUGUACCGGGAGAAUAAGCCCCGGCUAACUCCGUG